rnacentral:misc_RNA from 1 species
CUAGGGGUCGUUGGAAUUGUGGUUGGCAUCUGUGUAGCAUCUGUGAGAAGAAUGCCUACUAUAUGUGUUAUACAUGCACGUUCUCCUUGUGCAAGGGCUGUGUCAAAGAUGCUGUCAUACUAUGUGUUAGAGGUAACAAAGGUUUCUGUCAGGCAUGCAUGAAAACUGUCAUGUUGAUUGAAAGGAAUGAGCAGGGAAACAACGAAGUGGCCCAAAUAAAUUUUGAUGACAGAAGUAACUGGGAGUAUCUCUUCAAGGAUUACUGGAUUGAUUUAAAAGGGAGGCUAUCUAUAACUUCAGACGAACUUUCUCAGGCUAAAAAUCCAUGGAAAGGAUCCGAGUUACAUGCUGGGAAGCGGGAAUCCAUGGAUGAACCUUAUGAUUCUCAUAAUGAUGCAGGAUCAGGAUCAGACAGUUCUGGAAAUCCAGAAGUAACUACUUCUAAAAGAAGAAAGGCCAAAAAGCGGUUGAAAUCUCAUGCUAAGGAGAAGGAUUCACUGAUUACAACAACGGUAAAUGAUGCUGAAGAGGCAUCCCCUGAUGGAAGUGUGCAGUGGGCAUCAAAAGAGCUUUUGGAAUUUGUUAUGCAUAUGAAGAAUGGUGAUAAAUCUGUGUGUUCUCAAUUUGAUGUGCAAGCUCUUCUUCUGGAAUAUAUAAAAAGGAAUAAACUUCGUGAUCCUCGUCGUAAAAGUCAAAUAAUUUGUGAUUCAAGGCUUGAGAAACUGUUUGGGAAGCCACAUGUGGGGCACUUUGAAAUGUUAAAACUUCUGGAAACACAUUUUCUUUUAAAAGAGGAUUCUCAGGCAGAUGAUCUUCAAGGGAGCGUUGUUGAUACUGAAACUAAUCAGUUGGAGGCUGAUGGAAACUCUGAUGGUCUUAAGAAGGCUAGUAAGGACAAGAAACGUAGGUCACGUAAAAAGGGUUAUGGAAGAGGAUUGCAAUCUAAUCUUGAUGAUUAUGCGGCCAUUGAUACACACAAUAUCAAUUUAAUAUACUUACGGCGGAGUUUGUUGGAGAAUCUAAUUGAUGAUGCGGAAACAUUUCAUGAUAAAGUUGUUGGUUCUUUUGUGAGAAUCAGGAUAUCUGGGAGUGCUCAAAAGCAAGAUUUAUAUAGGCUGGUCCAAGUUGUUGGUACAAAUAAAGCUGCUGAACCCUAUAGAGUUGGCAAAAAGACAACUGAUUACCUGCUGGAAAUAUUAAAUUUAAACAAGACAGAGAUUGUAUCAAUUGAUAUAAUCUCAAAUCAAGAAUUUACUGAGGAUGAAUGCAAGCGGCUGCGACAGAGCAUAAAAUGUGGUCUUAUCAAUCGGUUGACUGUGGUAUGCUAUGUUACUUUGGAUAUGUUUCUACAUUAUCUGUGUCCUGAGGAGACAAUUUUUUGCAUGUAGGGUGACAUUCAGGAAAAGGCCAUGGCACUUCAGGCAGUCAGAGUUGAAGAUUCGUUGGAAUCAGAGGUAACACGUCUCAGUCAUCUUCGUGAUCGAGCCAGUGAUUUGGGCCGGAAGAAGGAGCUUAGAGAAUGUGUAGAGAAAUUGCAACUUCUGAAGUUGCCUGAGGAGCGCCAGCGCAGAUUUGAAGAAAUACCAGAAAUUCAUGCUGACCCAAAUAUGGAUCCAAGUUAUGAGUCUGAGGAAGAUGAAGGCCAAACGGAUGAAAAGAGACGAGACCAUCUGAGACCUGGAGGUUGUAGCUUUAACAGGAGAGGGAGAGAGCCUAUUUCUUCUGGAAGAGGAAGUUUUGCUUCAAAUGAUUCAUGGGGAACUAGGAAUUACUCAAGCAUGAAUCGGGAUUUGAGCAGAAACUUGUCCAAUAAAGGUUUCUUGAUCAAAACAGAUGAUAAUGCUGGAGCUGGUGAGAUACUAAAUGAAAGUUUGUGGGGUCAAGGAAGGGACAGAGAAACACAGCAAUCACAAAAUUGGGAGAAGCCAAAAUCUGCAUCGAAUUUAGAAACUAUAAGUGUCCAUCCUGUGCUAUCAUCAGAAUCAUUUCCUAGUGUUAAACAGGAUAUUGCAAUGGCACCAUCCUCCGCGGUGGUGACACGAUCUGCAAUCAAAAUUAACGAAACAGACAAGAUAUGGCAUUACCAGGAUCCAUCUGGAAAAGUACAAGGACCAUUUUCCAUGGUGCAGCUGCGGAAAUGGAGUAAUACUGGAUAUUUCCCUGCUGAUCUGAGAAUAUGGAGAACUGAUGAGAAGCAGGAUGACUCUUUUCUUUUGACUGAUGCAUUGUCUGGAAAUUUCCAGAGAGACCCUCAAUUGGUGGACAGCAGUUCCCUGAAAAGUCACAGUCCACAUCUAUCAUCAUCAUAUUCCACAAGCACAGGAGAUUGUAAACCUCAGUCUGAAAUUAGUAAUUCUACUGGUCGAGCUGCUUCAGCACCCCUUGAUGCUCCCAAGUAUUCUGCAGAAAAGUGGGGUUCUGAGACAA